rnacentral:lncRNA from 1 species
AGGAGCGCUGAAGGACCUGAAAAUAAAUGGGGCACACUAUCGACAGAAUCAAAUCCCAAAGCGAGGAUUUGCAGGGACUAGCUCGACAAUGCACUGGAGUCAUCAAGUGGGCACAUUUGGGAGAAAAGCUACUGCUACAAAUCUGUCAGAAGACGACUCGUUCAUGCUUUAUUAAAAAGGACAUGUGCAGGAGGAGCAACGGUCGCCCCUGAAUCUUUUUAGAAGAAUGGAGACAAGUCACCACCAUCUCUCUCUACCUCAGCCCUUUCCCUCAGGUUCACCCUUCAGCCAAUGUUGACAGGCCCUGUGGGAUUUAUCCACGCACAGACCUACAUGCAGUGCCAAAUUCUCCCUCCAACCAGCAUAUCCACCCAGAAGCCUGCAUUUGGGCAACAUCUAUCAUCAAACGCCUGACAUGGGACAUCCUUUUAACCAAAACAAGGAGUGCCAUCAGGACCUCCGAGGACACUUCCUUAUACCUGCAAACUUUCUCCUCCCUUCCAGAGUUGGAAGCAACAAUAAAGUGGCUGACAAAGUUCCAAAGGAGAAGAUUCAUCAUACUCAGAAGCUCCAUAAAGAAAGCUGGAUCCCAUCUACGAUCCCAUACAUUUUAUGAGAUCAACACUGAAGAGGUUAUAGUCAAGCAGUUAAGGUCAACUUUGUUCUCUUCUUCAGCUGAAAACUUUUUCCUCAAAAGAAAAAAAAAGAGGAGAGAUAAUAGACUUGGGUAAUAUGGAAGUCACAAAAGAGUUGACAGUCAUGACAAGAAGGAUGAAUAUGAAACUUGUGCUCAAGAGGAAGAGAACAUUGGUGGAGAUUCAGCUGAGAAUGCUCCUUUAAUUAGUUGGAACUUUGGGAUAUCAAUUUUGGAUACAAUGAGCUGAAAAAGUCUAACCUAUUGCUGAAGAUAAGACAGGUAGAAAGCGAGGAAAGAUCAGAGAAAGUGAAAGA